rfam:Lactobacillus nodensis DSM 19682 = JCM 14932 = NBRC 107160 strain DSM 19682 NODE_45, whole genome shotgun sequence.
GCGCCGUUAGUGUAAUGGAUCGCACGUAGGAUUCCGGUUCCUGAAAUACGGGUUCGACUCCCGUAUGGCGCA